AGAAAAAUGAAGAAAAUGAAGUCGUCGCAAAUGCAUCUAACCAGCUGGGAAAAAUUGCAAAUCAAAAAGUUGCAAACAUAAAUCGUUACCGGAAUCGCGAGCGAGUUGGCAAGGCAUUUUCAAAACUAGGAGCAAACAUCACAUCAAAAGUAACAGGCAGCUUCUCAAAGGCUACUGACAGUACCGAUUGCAAUGUCAUGUGAUGGUUAUCACAUAAAACAGAUCUGGCAAUUGCUUUAAAAUUAGAAGUUAAUUAUUAAGUGAAAUGUUAUUUCGUGUUCAGUACUGAUCAUUUGUAGCAUUAUUAAUGUGUGCAUGCAUGCGUACAAAUUGACUAUAUGCCAUAUUGUAUCGUAGUACGCAUUAUUAGUACUCUAGCAAGAUAUUGUAUUGUAUUAUGCCUUCAUUGUCUUAUAAAUAAACAUCAUCUUGAAUUUUGUAAACAACUUUGUUGUAGUAGUUCAAGAGUAGUUUAA